AAGUCGUAACAAGGUUUCCGUAGGUGAACCUGCGGAAGGAUCAUUAUUGAAUGAACUUGGCGUGAUUGUAGCUGGCCCUCUCGGGGGCAUGUGCACAUCCGUCAUCUUUAUCUCUUCACCUGUGCACACUUUGUAGGUCUGGAAUAACUUUCCGAGGAAACUCGGUCGUAGGGAUUGCUGUUAGGCUUUCCUUGCAUUUUCCAGGUCUAUGUUUUCAUAUACACCAUAAAAAUGUAAUAGAAUGUUUUUAUUGGGCCUUGUUGCCUAUAAAUUAUAUACAACUUUCAGCAACGGAUCUCUUGGCUCUC
rnacentral:misc_RNA from 1 species